CAUUCUUGAAGCUUGCAACGCCAUUCUCUCAUUCUCCCAUGGAAAAUUAAUUUUCUUUCAUUUUCUUUCCUUGUUUUCUUUUCAUUUCUUUUCUCUUCUUGCUUUAUUCUUCUCCCAACUUUAUGUGCACCAAAGUUAUAACUUCUAACCCUAAUUUUCAGCACAUAUAAACUCUAGGAGAAGAAGAAAGAAAAAGAGAGAAAGGAAAAAAAAGCUUGGUUUUGGUGAUUCAAGCAAGGAAUGGAAGUGCAAAGAUAAAGUUAAAGUAUUAUAGGGGCGUGCCGGAAUAAAUAACGAGCGACCAGCCAGUGAAAAUAAUUAAAGACACCUCCGAACAAAUAGCAACUUAAUAUCUCAUUAUUGCUAGGUGAUUGGAUCCAAGGACGAGGUGCUCCUCCCUGUACAUUGCUCGGUAGGUUUAAUGUGACACUAAGUAUUAUCAAUCGUGCCCAGAGUCACUCCGCUGAUGGUCAAGGUCUAAUUAAAUGUAUGUGAAUAUUUAAUGUGAACAUUAAGAAUCAUUGUUAAUCUAUUAAUGAAUAUAUUGGUGGAUGAUGCCAUUAUGAAUGUAUGAUUAGGUUUUAUGAAUCGUUUUCAAAGAAA